AGUGAACGCUGGCGGUAGGCCUAACACAUGCAAGUCGAACGGCAGCACAGUAAGAGCUUGCUCUUACGGGUGGCGAGUGGCGGACGGGUGAGGAAUACAUCGGAAUCUACUUUUUCGUGGGGGAUAACGUAGGGAAACUUACGCUAAUACCGCAUACGACCUACGGGUGAAAGCAGGGGAUCUACGGACCUUGCGCGAUUGAAUGAGCCGAUGUCGGAUUAGCUAGUUGGCGGGGUAAAGGCCCACCAAGGCGACGAUCCGUAGCUGGUCUGAGAGGAUGAUCAGCCACACUGGAACUGAGACACGGUCCAGACUCCUACGGGAGGCAGCAGUGGGGAAUAUUGGACAAUGGGCGCAAGCCUGAUCCAGCUAUACCGCGUGGGUGAAGAAGGCCUUCGGGUUGUAAAGCCCUUUUGUUGGGAAAGAAAAGCAGCAGGUUAAUACCCCGCUGUUCUGACGGUACCCAAAGAAUAAGCACCGGCUAACUUCGUG
rnacentral:rRNA from 1 species